GCCCAUCUCUGUGGGCACGAAGCGCACGCAGUAGGUGUCGUUUCCAGCGGCAACCAGCUCAGCAGGCUGACUGGCUCCAGAGGGGGAAGUGACCUCAGCAGUGACGUCCUUCAUGUCGAUCGCUGUCAACGGAAGGGCUCUAUAACGCACCCUCCACCCCUGCACUGCCCACCGAGCAGCGGGCAUCAAAAAGCCAAACACCCCUCGCUGGCUUCGCUCUGCCCGCUAACACUAGACCAGAGAGGCCAGAGAUGAGGCGGACACGCCCAGGAGAGAGGCUCUGAUCCGGGACAACAGCAGAGGGACGAGCCCGGCGACUGCCGGAUCUUCCAGACCACCAGAGGGAACAGUAGGAGCGGGAGGAGGUGUGAGAGAGGAGCUGCCGAGACAAGACCAGGAGGAACCAGCUCACUGGAGGAAGAGGAGGAUGACCAAGAGGAGAGGCGUCCUCUGUGUAGACGAUGAAGGUGGCCAUCUUGUUGGCGACGCCGUAGCUCAGACCAGGACCGUAGGCUGUGACGUUGGGACUGCUGGCGUGGUUCACAUAGAACUGGAGGGGAGACUCUGCAACACAC